rnacentral:tRNA from 1 species
GCCGACUUAGCUCAGUGGCAGAGCAAUCCCUUCGUAAGGGAUAGGUCGUGAGUUCAAGUCUCACAGUCGGCU